rnacentral:rRNA from 1 species
AACGAACGCUGGCGGCAUGCCUAACACAUGCAAGUCGAACGAGACCUUCGGGUCUAGUGGCGCACGGGUGCGUAACGCGUGGGAACCUGCCCUUAGGUUCGGAAUAACUCCCCGAAAGGGGUGCUAAUACCGGAUAAUGUCUUCGGACCAAAGAUUUAUCGCCUUUGGAUGGGCCCGCGUUGGAUUAGCUAGUUGGUAGGGUAAAAGCCUACCAAGGCGACGAUCCAUAGCUGGUCUGAGAGGAUGAUCAGCCACACUGGGACUGAGACACGGCCCAGACUUCUACCGGAAGGAAGCAGUGGGGAUAUUGGAAAAAUGGGCGAAAGCCUGAUCCAGCAAUGCCGCGUGAGUGAUGAAGGCCUUAGGGUUGUAAAGCUCUUUUACCCGGGAUGAUAAUGACAGUACCGGGAGAAUAAGCUCCGGCUAACUCCGUG